GGGCAAAGGGCAUCAUGCGUGCAGGCUCUGGGGAGGCACUUACCUCAAGCAGCUCCCAAAGGCAGCGGCAUGUCCUCCCUCUCGCUCCUACGUGGAGGCGUGGCCUGGCGGCUCUGCACGCUGCCCUGUC